GACAGAGGGUGCAAACGUUGUUCGGAAUUACUGGGCGUAAAGCGCGUGUAGGCGGCUAUGCAAGUCGGAUGUGAAAGCCCUCGGCUCAACCGGGGAAGUGCACCCGAAACUGCAAAGCUAGAGUCUCGGAGAGGAUCGUGGAAUUCUCGGUGUAGAGGUGAAAUUCGUAGAUAUCGAGAGGAACACCGGUGGUGAAGGCGGCGAUCUGGACGAUGACUGACGCUGAGGCGCGAAAGCUAGGGGAGCAAACGGG
rnacentral:rRNA from 1 species